GUCGGUGCCUCCGCGUUCGCGCGGGGGGUAAACGGGAAGUCGGUGCGUCGCAAAUGCGACAAGGCCGACGCUGCCUCCGCAACGGUAAGCAGGCUGAUGCGCUAUCGCGCAGCGGUCGUAUCGAUCUGCCACUGCUGUGUGUCACACGGCGGGAAGGCCGAUACCUGCAUCGGGUGCAAUUCGCCGGAUGCGGUCUGCAAGUCCGGAUACCGGCCGGCGAC
rnacentral:ncRNA from 1 species